UAAAGAAGAAGAAGAAGAAGGGGAGAAGGAAAGGAUCAGACCUGCGAUUAAUGGCAGUAAUAGCAUCCAGUAGUCGACAGUCAGUGCAGAAAAGCAAGCAGAUGAGUUUUCUCUUUUCUAUUAUGUGGUUCAUCAAAUUCUUGUUGAUUAUUGGGCAAAGAGCAACACUAUCCUUUAUUUUUUGACUCAUUUAUUAAAUCCAAGGUAAAUUUCUAAGUUACAUACUCAUCUUUUUGCUAUAAUAUUUUUCUAUUACUUGAAUUUAUUUUCUUGUUUUUGAAGAUUUUACAGUGAAAAAUGGCUUCAAACAGGGAGAAGGUAGAAUGCCUCCUCAUAUGGAUGGAGAAG
rnacentral:misc_RNA from 1 species